rnacentral:rRNA from 1 species
GACGAACGCUGGCGGCGUGCUUAACACAUGCAAGUCGAACGGAAAGGCCCUGCUUUUGUGGGGUGCUCGAGUGGCGAACGGGUGAGUAACACGUGAGUAACCUGCCCUUGACUUUGGGAUAACUUCAUGAAACUGGGGCUAAUACCGGAUAUGAGCUCCUGCUGCAUGGUUGGGGUGUUAAAGUUUCGGCGGUUGGGGAUGGACUCGCGGCUUAUCAGCGUGUUGGUGGGGUAGUGGCUUACCAAGGCUUUGACGGGUAGCCGGACUGAGAGGGUGACCGGCCACAUUGGGACUGGGAUGCGGCCAAGACUGCUACGGGAGGCAGCAGUGGGAAAUAUUGCGCAAUGGGCGGAAGCAUGAUGCAGCAACGCCGCGUGGGGGAUGACGGCCUUCGGGUUGUAAACCGCUUUCGCCUGUGACGAAGAGUGAGUGACGGUAAUGGGUCAAGAAGCACCGGCUAACUACGUG